rnacentral:lncRNA from 10 species
AGCUCAGCUACAGAGGAAUGCUUCACUGAAAGAAAUCUUUUCUAUGGACCUCUGGUUUUAGAGACAACAUCUAGUUCUCUUACAUCCCUUGCCACUUCCCCUGAUGCUGUAGGACAGACAGGUCUGUCCCACCCACGGUGACUCAGUCAUUGUUGUUCAUGGCCGCUGCCCGUUCUUCACGAUCAAGGAGGAGAAUUCUUUGGAGGAAACAGAGCUUUCAUACGUGAAUCGACUGGGAAGCGAGUCAAAAGUACUGCAACUGGAAGUGUGGCAUGGGGAGGGGGCCGUGGCCAGUCUCCUCACUGGGCUCCUGUAGGACUGGGAACGCCUACUCCUUCACACCUAAUUAUGUUUGCUGGAUUGGGUUAUAGUUCUUCAGUGUGUGGACUCUUGUCAGUUUUAUAUCCGUAGGCCGAGCACAAUGCCUGGAAUACAGAGCAUGCUUAAUAA